UGGCUCAGAACGAACGCUGGCGGCAGGCUUAACACAUGCAAGUCGAACGCUCGUAGCAAUACGGGAGUGGCAGACGGGUGAGUAACGCGUGGGAACAUACCCUCCGGUUCGGAAUAACUCAGGGAAACUUGAGCUAAUACCGGAUAAUAUCGCGAGAUCAAAGAUUUAUCGCCUUUGGAUGAGCCCGCGUAGGAUUAGCUAGUUGGUGGGGUAAAGGCCUACCAAGGCGGGGAUCCUUAGCUGGUCUGAGAGGAUGAUCAGCCACACUGGGACUGAGACACGGCCCAGGAUCCUACGGGAGGCAGCAGUGGGAUCUUGG
rnacentral:rRNA from 1 species